rnacentral:rRNA from 1 species
CGCGUAGGUGGUUUUGUAUGUCUACCGUGAAAGCGUACGGCUCAACCGUAUUUUGUCGGUAGAAACUGCAGGACUUGAGGCUGGGAGGGGCUGGUGGAAUUCCCUGUGUAGCGGUGAAAUGCGUAGAGAUGGGGGAGAACACUCGUGGCGAAGGCGGCCAGCUAGACCAGUUCUGACACUGAGGCGCGAUAGCGUGGGGAGCAAACA